rnacentral:rRNA from 1 species
GAUGAACGCUGGCGGCGUGCCUAAUACAUGCAAGUCGAGCGAACGGACGAGAAGCUUGCUUCUCUGAUGUUAGCGGCGGACGGGUGAGUAACACGUGGAUAACCUACCUAUAGGAGUGGGAUAACUUCGGGAAACCGGAGCUAAUACCGGAUAAUAUUUUGAACCGGAUGGGGCAAAAGUGAAAGACGGUCUUGCUGUCACUUAUAGAGGGAUCCGCGCUGCAUUAGCUAGUUGGUAAGGUAACGGCCUACCAAGGCGACGAUGCGUAGCUGAUCUGAGAGGAUGAUCAGUCACACUGGAACUGAGACACGGUCCAGACUCCUACGGGAGGCAGCAGUGGGGAAUAUUGGACAAUGGGCGAAAGCCUGAUCCAGCCAUGCCGCGUGUGUGAAGAAGGUCUUCGGAUUGUAAAGCACUGUAAGUUGGGAGGAAGGGCAGUAAGUUAAUACCUGGCUGUUUUGACGUUACCAACAGAAUAAGCACCGGCUAACUUCGUG